rnacentral:rRNA from 1 species
CAGUCGCCGCGGGAACACGAAGGGUGCAAGCGUUAAUCGGAAUUACUGGGCGUAAAGGGCGUGUAGGCGGCCUGGGGCGUCCCAUGUGAAAGGCCACGGCUCAACCGUGGAGGAGCGUGGGAUACGCUCAGGCUAGAGGGUGGGAGAGGGUGGUGGAAUUCCCGGAGUAGCGGUGAAAUGCGCAGAUACCGGGAGGAACGCCGAUGGCGAAGGCAGCCACCUGGUCCACUUCUGACGCUGAGGCGCGAAAGCGUGGGGAGCAAACCGGAUUAGAUACCCCCGUAGUCCCUGUCUCUUAUAC